AGAGAAUAGAUACCCCCGGUAGUCCCACGCUGUAAACGAAUACAGGCUAGGUGUUUGGACGGCCACGUGCCGUUCUAGUGCCGCAGGGAAGCUGUUAAGCCUGCCGCCUGGGGAGUACGAUCGCAAGAUUGAAACUUAAAGGAAUUGGCGGGGGAGGCACCACAAGGGGUGAAGCUUGCGGUUUAAUUGGAGUCAACGCCGGAAAUCUCACCGGGAGCGACAGCAGUGUGAAAGCCAGAUUAAAGGUCUUGCUAGACGAGCUGAGAGGAGGUGCAUGGCCGUCGCCAGUUCGUGCCGUGAGGUGUCCUGUUAAGUCAGGCAACGAUCGAGACCCGCAUCCUCUGUUGCAACCAGCUUUGUGCUGGGCACACUGAGGAGACCGCCACUGAUAAAGUGGAGGAAGGAGCGGGCCACGGCAGGUCAGUAUGCCCCGAAUCUCCCGGGCCACACGCGAGCUGCAAUGGCAGGUACAAUGGGUUCCGACCUCGAAAGGGGG
rnacentral:rRNA from 1 species